CUUACCAGGUCUUGACAUCCUCUGACAAUCCUAGAGAUAGGACGUCCCCUUCGGGGGCAGAGUGACAGGUGGUGCAUGGUUGUCGUCAGCUCGUGUCGUGAGAUGUUGGGUUAAGUCCCGCAACGAGCGCAACCCUUGAUCUUAGUUGCCAGCAUUCAGUUGGGCACUCUAAGGUGACUGCCGGUGACAAACCGGAGGAAGGUGGGGAUGACGUCAAAUCAUCAUGCCCCUUAUGACCUGGGCUACACACGUGCUACAAUGGACAGAACAAAGGGCAGCGAAACCGCGAGGUUAAGCCAAUCCCACAAAUCUGUUCUCAGUUCGGAUCGCAGUCUGCAACUCGACUGCGUGAAGCUGGAAUCGCUAGUAAUCGCGGAUCAGCAUGCCGCGGUGAAUACGUUCCCGGGCCUUGUACACACCGCCCGUCACACCACGAGAGUUUGUAACACCCGAAGUCGGUGAGGUAACCUUUUAGGAGCCAGCCGCCGAAGGUGGGACAGAUGAUUGGGGUGAAGUCGUAACAAGGUAGC
rnacentral:rRNA from 1 species